GUGCACCAGUCGCGAAACCUCCGCAAUACACGAAAGUGUGACGGGGCCAUCCCGAGUGCCGUCCGCUGAGGACGGCUUUUCCCCAGUGUACACAGCUGGGGGAAUAAGGAGAGGGCAAGCCUGGUGUCAGCCGCCGCGGUAAUACCAGCUCUCCGAGUGGUGGGGACGCUUAUUGGGCCUAAAGCAUCCGUAGCCGGCUGGGCAAGUCCUCCGUUAAAUCCAACGAUUCAAUCGUUGGGCUGCGGGGGAUACUGUCCAGCUUGGGGGCGGGAGAGGCCGACGGUAUUCCCGGGGUAGGGGUGAAAUCCUAUAAUCCCGGGAGGACCACCAGUGGCGAAGGCUGUCGGCUAGAACGCGCCCGACGGUGAGGGAUGAAAGCUGGGGGAGCGAACCGGAUUAGAUACCCU
rnacentral:rRNA from 1 species